rnacentral:rRNA from 1 species
ACUCAAAGGAAUAGACGGGGGCCCGCACAAGCGGAGGAGCAUGUGGCUCAAUUCGAUGCUACGCGAAGAACCUUACCCAGGCUUGACAUGCAGCUGCACGUCCCGUGAAAGCGGGAUUCCUUCGAGGGUGCUGCACAGGUGCUGCAUGGCUGUCGUCAGUUCGUGCCGUGAGGUGUCCGGUUAAGUCCGGUAACGAACGCAACCCUUGCGCCCAGUUGCCAUCGCUUAAAGGCGGGGACUCUGGGGGGACUGCCCGUUUACGCGGGAGGAAGGUGGGGACGACGUCAAGUCAGUAUGGCCCUUACGCCUGGGGCCGCACACGUGCUACAAUGGCCGGUACAGAGGGACGCCAAGCCGCGAGGCGGAGCGACCCCCAAAACCGGCCCCAGUUCGGAUUGGGGUCUGCAACCCGACCCCAUGAAGUCGGAUUCGCUAGUAACGGCGCAUCAGCUACGGCGCCGUGAAUACGUUCCCGGGCCUUGCACACACCGCCCGU